rnacentral:rRNA from 1 species
AAUCAGCUUGUUGGUGGGGUAAUGGCCUACCAAGGCUUUGACGUCUAGGCGGAUUGAGAGAUUGACCGCCAACACUGGGACUGAGACACUGCCCAGACUUCUACGGAAGGCUGCAGUCGAGAAUCUUUCGCAAUGGACGAAAGUCUGACGAAGCGACGCCGCGUGUGUGAUGAAGGCUCUAGGGUUGUAAAGCACUUUCGCUUGGGAAUAAGAGAGAUUGGCUAAUAUCCAAUCGAUUUGAGCGUACCAGGUAAAGAAGCACCGGCUAACUCCGUGCCAGCAGCUGCGGUAAUACGGAGGGUGCUAGCGUUAAUCGGAUUUAUUGGGCGUAAAGGGCGUGUAGGCGGAAAGGAAAGUUAGAUGUUAAAUCUUGGGGCUCAACCCCAAGCCAGCAUCUAAUACUAUCUUUCUAGAGGGUAGAUGGAGAAAAGGGAAUUCCACGUGUAGCGGUGAAAUGCGUAGAUAUGUGGAAGAACACCAGUGGCGAAGGCGCUUUUCUAAUUUACACCUGACGCUAAGGCGCGAAAGCAAGGGGAGCAAACAGGAUUAGAUACCCUGGUAGUCCUUGCCGUAAACGAUGCAUACUUGAUGUGGAUAGUCUCAACCCUAUCCGUGUCGUAGCUAACGCGUUAAGUAUGCCGCCUGAGGAAUACACUCGCAAGGGUGAAACUCAAAAGAAUUGACGGGGGCCCGCACAAGCAGUGGAGCAUGUGGUUUAAUUCGAUGCAACGCGAAGAACCUUACCUGGGCUUGACAUGUAUUUGACCGCGGCAGAAAUGUCGUUUUCCGCAAGGACAGAUACACAGGUGCUGCAUGGCUGUCGUCAGCUCGUGCCGUGAGGUGUUGGGUUAAGUCCCGCAACGAGCGCAACCCUUAUCGUUAGUUGCCAACACUUAGGGUGGGAACUCUAAUGAGACUGCCUGGGUUAACCAGGAGGAAGGCGAGGAUGACGUCAAGUCAGCAUGGCCCUUAUGCCCAGGGCUACACACGUGCUACAAUGGCCAGUACAGAAGGUAGCAAUAUCGCAAGAUGGAGCAAAUCCUCAAAGCUGGCCCCAGUUCGGWCKGUAGU